AUUGAACGCUGGCGGCAUGCCUUACACAUGCAAGUCGAACGGGGGUAGCAAUACCCUAGUGGCGGACGGGUGAGUAAUGUAUCGGAACGUGCCCUUGAGUGGGGGAUAGCCAGUCGAAAGAUUGGCUAAUACCGCAUACGAUCUACGGAUGAAAGUGGGGGACCUUAGGGCCUCAUGCUCGUGGAGCGGCCGAUAUCUGCAUAGCUAGUUGGUGGGGUAAAGGCCUACCAAGGCGACGAUCAGUAGCUGGUCUGAGAGGACGAUCAGCCACACUGGGACUGAGACACGGCCCAGACUCCUACGGGAGGCAGCAGUGGGGAAUUUUGGACAAUGGGGGAAACCCUGAUCCAGCGAUGCCGCGUGAGUGAAGAAGGCCUUCGGGUUGUAAAGCUCUUUUGUCAGGGAAGAAGAUGCUAUGGCUAAUAUCCAUGGUUGAUGACGGUACCUGAAGAAUAAGCACCGGCUAACUACGUGCCAGCCGCCGCGGUAAAAC
rnacentral:rRNA from 1 species